rnacentral:rRNA from 1 species
CGAAUCUUCCGCAAUGCGCGAAAGCGUGACGGAGCAAUGCCGCGUGCAGGAUGAAGCCCCUAGGGGUGUAAACUGCUGUCAGGGUUUAGCAACCCAAUGAGCAGACCCAAAGGAAGGGCCGGCUAACUUCGUGCCAGCAGCCGCGGUAAUACGAAGGGCCCGAGCGUUGCGCGGAAUCACUGGGCUUAAAGCGUAUGUAGGCGGACAAGCAGGCAUUUUGUGAAAUCCCUCGGCUCAACCGAGGAAUUGCUUGGUGAACCGCUUGUCUUGAGGUGAGUAGGGGCUGUCGGAACGAUAGGUGGAGCGGUGAAAUGCGUUGAUAUCUAUCGGAACGCCAAAGGCGAAGGCAGACAGCUGGGCUCAUUCUGACGCUGAGGUACGAAAGCGUGGGGAGCGAAC